rnacentral:ncRNA from 2 species
CGAGCCCGCUCGGGAGAGUCCCGGCCCCGCCCAACAGGGGGUUGCGGGACGCCGAAGGAGCAACCCCUCCCCGGAAUCUCUCAGGCAUCCGUACCGAGCAGGAUCA